rnacentral:piRNA from 1 species
UCAGUCCAACGUGGCCCCAAGAAAC